AUCCAUUCAUCUGUUGGUGGGCACCUAGGCUAGUUCCGUAUCUUGGUUAUUAUGAAUUGUGCCUCAAUAAAUAUGGGUAUGCAGGGAUUCCUGU
rnacentral:miRNA from 1 species